ACAGUGACCGCCACCGUUGCCCGGGGAUGGGUCCCUGAGAAUUGGCGAAGUAGGAGCCCUUUGUGAUUGUGCGUCAGAGUCGGGGCUGAGACCAGUCCUGGCCAGGGCAGUUACCAGGACGGUCUCCGGAGGCCGGGAUUCGCGGAGGGUCCGCCAGGAGGAAGAAACCUCAGACAGAUCGCCGGGGACGCAGCGCGGGAUCCCAGCCUCAGGCGUGCACGGACGGUGUGCGGAAUCCUCCAUCUCAGGAAGGCCCCAGUAUUGCCAGGCUGGGAGAAACCCAAGCCAUGAGGAUAGACCAUGAAUAGGAGUUCUGGUUGACAAUCCCAGUUCACUCCCAGCUUCAAAUACACAAGGCCAAGUGCCAGAUACGGGCAUAAAAAGCAAUUUUGGAAGUGGACACUCCAGUCCCAGCUGUCCUAGCCCUCAGCUAUUUGAGUUGCAUCCAGACAUGUAAAUCUUCCCAGCUGAGGCCUCAUCAUUGAGGUGCAGAAAAGGGGCAUGCCCAUUGUGCCUGUUUCUAAAUUCCUGACCCACAGAACCUCUAAUCAGCAAUACAACUGGGAUUUGAUAUCAGAUUCAUGCGAUUCCGAAGACCCUGACCACCAAAUGCAAAAGUGAAAUGGUCUCAUCCUACCUGCAACUGAGGCUGAAAAAUACAGCAUUUCCGUAUGGUCCAAAGGAGGAAAUAAUGUUAUCAUCUCACCAGUCUCUGUCAAGACAAGUUCUGAAGUCUUCAGCCAAUCAUGAGUAUCUGUCCCUAGCUUACUCAUCUUAAGAAGGAGCCAAAAACAUCAGACAGGUGUGCUUACUGCUCAUUUAUUAAAGAUUUAAGUUUCCUUUACUUGGAGUUCUUCAUCUGUGACACAAACUGUGUGUAGCAUCAACUUGAACUCCUUGUCAUCAUCUCCAGUAAACUUGAGGGAAAACAGGAACCAGAGCAAACAUGAAGCUCGUGCAACUCUGUGCUGUGCUGCAAAUAAUGGAAGUCUUUCUGUCUCUGACCAAACAGUUAUGUGUCUUCUGCCAGCAUCCAUAAAACUGAAGCAGGCUAACUUGUAAGCUCAGAUCCUUCACAGUUCUUGACAAUAGUCCCUUAAAACUGUCUGCAGAUGCACAUCUCUUGGAAAAAUUUUGCAUCCUUUUAAGAAUAAUUAAUAUCCUAGUUAAUGACAACUAUAUAACAGGAUAGAUCACUUUAAGCUUCUACCCAGAUUAGUAUAACUUUUAGGUAAAUAAUGUAUAUGCCAUUUUUUCUAAGGUUAUCUAGCCAUUUUUGAUGUGGAAAACAAUAUUGUGUAAGAUAAGCUGAGCAUAUUUUUCACUUCGUUUUUGUUUUGCAAAACAAUUUUAUUGCUUUUGUUAAUGCCCCAAUCAUCAAUACUGCUUGGCAUAAGAGCCAAGUUUGAAGAAUUAUCAUGUUGCAAAUGUAUUUUGCUCAUUUAUUUCAAAUUAGUAGACAGAAUUGAGAGGUGGAAAAUUUUAGAAAAAUCUUGGUUAAUCAUACUUGGAAUUUGGUUAUGUAAUAUCUCUUUCCCUUUUGGGGAAUACAAAGGUUCAUAAACUAGUGAUAAUCUUCACUCUUGGAACCUUUAGAUGCUAUCAUGAUGUUAGCACAGAAGAUAAAUUUAUAAUGUUGCAGUGAGGUAAGGAAAUAAAACAUGUAAGUCUUUGAAAACAACACUAUGAGAGCCCUUGCAGGCUAAAAAUUAGACACCAAAGCAUUUUUUGUUACUUUUGGAGAAUAAAAGAAGUGUGCCCCUCAAUGUCUUGUGGGAGAAAAUAUAUAGUUUGAUACACUUGUCAAUAUCUCUAACUCAAAAAUGAUGAGUAUAAGGAGUGACCCUUAUUGUAGUCUUAUAUUUCUCUCCAACAAUUAAGAGAGUUGGUGGGGAUGUUUUUUCCAUGAGUUCAUCCCGGGCCCCAGGAGAUUUUCAUCUUGUAUUCUCUUUAUAAUCCUAUCUUAGUGUUUCAUCCUCAUGGCUAAGUUCAGCAAUACUUCUGCAUUCCAGCCAGUAAAAUGUGUAAGAAGAGAUGUAAAAACAACCGGCUUUGUCUUUAUGGAGAUUAACUUAAAUUUAUGCUCAUAAUAUAAUUCAUGUUAUACUUGAUCAAAAUUAAUCACUGAUAAGAGACUAUAGAAGGUAAUCUCCUGCUUGUGGUCAUAUGUACUUAGGAUUCUAUUACUAAACAAAAUGAAAGAAUGCAUUAUAUGGACAAUUAGUGGUCUCUAGUACAAAGAAAUUACCAGGUCAUUUCCAAUUCUCAAUAUUAAAAAAAAAGUUUAUUUCUUACUGCACUAUCAAAUUGGAAAGGUCAGUACAGGGGCAUUCAAUAAUAGUAAAAAUAUGAAUAGCAAUCAUAUGUAUCACAACAGAAUCAUUUAAAAAGAUGUAUAUUUAAAAUAUGAUUAUUGCAUUUUAUUUCCUGUGGCAGAAAAUUAUAAAUUGGAGAAAAAUCACAUUUGAUUGAUGUCUGUUACAUGGAUUUUUAAAAUUUGUAUCAAUGAAUGCUUUUUAAAGGUAAACUAAUUGAGGCCUACCAAAGAUAAAUAAAUCUUUAGUUAUUUUGGUAAAUA
rnacentral:lncRNA from 10 species